GACGAACGCUGGCGGCGUGCUUAACACAUGCAAGUCGAACGAUGAAGCUGGAGCUUGCUCCGGUGGAUUAGUGGCGAACGGGUGAGUAACACGUGAGCAAUCUGCCCUUCACUCUGGGAUAACUGCGGGAAACUGUAGCUAAUACCGGAUACGAGACCUUGGGGCAUCCCAGGGUCUGGAAAGAAUUUCGGUGAAGGAUGAGCUCGCGGCCUAUCAGCUAGUUGGUGAGGUAAUGGCUCACCAAGGCGACGACGGGUAGCCGGCCUGAGAGGGUGACCGGCCACACUGGAACUGAGACGCGGUCCAGACUCCUACGGGAGGCAGCAGUGGGGAAUAUUGCACAAUGGGCGAAAGCCUGAUGCAGCAACGCCGCGUGAGGGAUGAAGGCCUUCGGGUUGUAAACCUCUUUUAGCAGGGAAGAAGCGAAAGUGACGGUACCUGCAGAAAAAGCACCGGCUAACUACGUGCCAGCCGCCGCCGUAA
rnacentral:rRNA from 1 species